UGUGAAGUAGGGUAGAUAGUGUCUUUAAUUUGAAGAAAGCUAAACUGAAGAAGAAAGACAUUAAAUGGAUUUGUCAAAGGUCAUACUGAACAUUAGUGACAGUCCAUAAUAACUCUUUCAGUAAUGCCUGCAUAUGUGCUGAACUUUGAAGACCAUUAUGAAGAGGAAGCUAGCUGUUCUGAGCCUAAUGUUUUUCUGCACUACCACAAAGGAUAACGACUCACUCUUUUUGUAUAAUGGAAGCUGAGGUAAUCACGUAACAGCUAGAGAGGCCUGGCUGGAAAACAUGAAUUCCACCUUCCAAAAAAAGGUUGCGAUUUUGAAAUUUGUUUUUGUUCGGAUGUGGAAUGAAACCGAAACCCUACAAUAUGGGGAAAAAUAUGGGAGAUCAACUCUACACGAAGCAAGGAGAUAGGGCAGCUACCUGGGAUGUGGAAGAUGCUGUUUGAAGGCCCUGGUCUGCCUGUCGAAGAGAAAGAACUUGAUACUGGGUCUAACAGACUGUACGAAGUGGAACAGCUCCACCAGGAGAGACUGGAGAGAGACUGACCUACGCCCUGGGGUUGAGGACACUUAUCUAGGAGGUGGGAGAAUCAGGCAGAUCAGAGUGUGAAUUUUCCACGCCCUUGUCAAGUCCCUAUUCACCAGACUAUUGAC